rnacentral:rRNA from 1 species
UACGUAGGGUCCGAGCGUUGUCCGGAAUUAUUGGGCGUAAAGAGCUUGUAGGCGGUUUGUCGCGUCUGCUGUGAAAAUCCGGGGCUCAACCCCGGACUUGCAGUGGGUACGGGCAGACUAGAGUGUGGUAGGGGAGACUGGAAUUCCAGGUGUAGCGGUGAAAUGCGUAGAUAUCUGGAGGAACACCGGUGGCGAAGGCGGCAUCCUGGACCGGUAUUGACACUGAGGCGCGAAAGCCAGGGGAGCAAACGGG